UCCGUCCGGGAAAGACAUUUUUUAUGAUCACGGUGGUACUACGGUACCUUUUACUCGGAUUUAUCGGAAACACGAUCCCCAUGCACGGAGAUAUCUCAGAUAGAACUAUACACGGUACUCUAUAUCGCGAUCUGGAUCUAUACACGGAAAACUAAAUCCAACCCUAGCCGGACUCAAACCUAAUAACAUCGGAACAUAUUCCACUGGCACUGAUACCGUACAUCUGGGAUGAAACUGUUAAGAUGGUUAUAGGCCUAGCCCUAGGCCUAGGUACUCUUCGCUUCGGCAUAGUCCUUUAAUUCGGACAGAUCUACGGAACCAAUUUAUUAUACCUCGGCCUCGGAGACAUCUGACAAGUGAAUUCACUAAAACUCAAUUUUAGUCGCAAGUAGGCCAGCUACACUGCACUGCAGAUCGAUAAGCUAAGUUCGACCACAUUACGAUACUGGCUCCUCAAUUUCGACGGUCGACUCUAAAGUAUAAUUAUCGCGGCAGACAUCAAAACUUGACUGGUUCGAUGAAAUAAUCAAUGCUCAAGAUGGGAGAACAUAAAGGAUCAACCAGCAGAGGAGGCAGGGGGAAAGGAGCCAAAGGUUGAAGGAGACGCCCACGUCCACGCAGUCUAUGCGGUCAGAGUGCCAUACGGAGCAACGAGGGCCACAACGGAGAGCCCGGCAAGCCAGCAGCCGACCAGACCGGGGGUGAUCGAGCCUUCGCUACGUGAUGGACCAGAGAUAGAGCUCUCAACAGACAACAAGCAACCACCUCCCACCCACGUUAACCCACGACGAGCCACCAGUCAUCCGGGCUCGAAGAAUCUGGCUGUUUGGCGACAGCUUACAAGGAGGGCUCGGGAGAGGGCCGUCACCACGGGGAACCACAACCUUGGGGGCUGAUUAAAGGCUACGAGGUGUACUAGUUGGUGGAGCCGUGGGGGGUACUACGCUUCCCAACUGCCCGAGUGACCUCCAAGGGGGACUGAGAUACAGCCCCAUACCAACCUUAAUAAUCAUUCACGUGGGAUCCAAUGGAUUCAAUGAUUGGGCAGCUAUAUAGUGCCAAAGAAAGUAGACAAGCUGGAGACAACUCACUGAAUUCAACCAGAGCUCUACGGCCUUGGUGCCACAUAUGUUUCUCAAGCAUCUUGCCACGCCUUACUAUUAUGCACAGGAAAGAACUAUCACCUCACAGGCAGCUAGUGACAAUGUCAGAAAAUCUGUGAACAAGUAUAUAUGCCAAGAGAAGGAUUCGGUGCAUGCACAAUGCGUCAUUUAUCAACCACAUCUUACACUAUCAUGAACACCGGUACUACAACAGAGGUGGCAUCCAACGGUCAGACGAAGGAAGUGACAUCCUGAUUAGUGAUUUCAAUAGGGCGGGUCAAUUCGCCCUCACCGGACAAGACUUGAAUGAAUAAGAGAGCUCUUGAGUCCCAGGAUUGGCGAAUGCGACUCCUUUAAUUGAUCUGGGAAUAGCGAAGGAAAGACACUGGACGUGCAGGGAAGUGUUGUUUAAUUACACAACCCAUGGCAUUCAUACUAUUAUAAUGUUUUCUCAUGCUUAUAUUAGUUCAUUAUCCUUUUAACCAAACGUUACCUUCGGCUCAUACCGAAGAGAAAUACAAGAGAAACAUUAUACGAAUGAGUAACACCGAAAAUAAAUUAAAUAGAUCAAUAGCACGAAUUGCUCAAAGGUUAGCAACUGGCAUUAAGCCAAGCUGAUAGUUUUGAAUUUGGUUUGGUUAUACCUUACAAUGCAAUCACAUCUGUCAUAUUGGCGUGGGUGGACACUCGCACCUGAUUGGACAUGGGUAAUAGUGAAAAUAAACUUGGGAGUUAAUUAAUGAACAGAGAACCUCUUUCUGCCAAAUGGCAAGAUAUACAGAAACACAGAAACAGUGCCUAUCCAAUGUUUCUUUUCUUGGUACGAAAGUUGUUCUGGUCAGUGCUUAAUGGUAACUAGUUUGGUGCAACUGAACAA
rnacentral:lncRNA from 1 species